UACCUGGUUGAUCCUGCCACUAGUCAUAUGCUUGUCUCAAAGAUUAAGCCAUGCAUGUGUAAGUAUGAACUAAUUCAGACUGUGAAACUGCGAAUGGCUCAUUAAAUCAGUUAUAGUUUGUUUGAUGGUACCUGCUACUCGGAUAACCGUAGUAAUUCUAGAUCUAAUACGUGCAACAAACCCCGACUUCUGGAAGGGACGCAUUUAUUAGAUAAAAGGUCAACGCGGGCUUUUAGACCUUUUUGUCUCUCCAGCAUGGCAACAUUUAUAAAAUGGCAACAUCUAUUAAAACAAAUAGUGCUUGAAAUUGUCGGGAGGGAAGCGGAUGGGGGCCGGCGAU
rnacentral:ncRNA from 1 species